rnacentral:rRNA from 1 species
UACGUAGGGUGCAAGCGUUAAUCGGAAUUACUGGGCGUAAAGCGUGCGCAGGCGGUUGUGCAAGACAGAUGUGAAAUCCCCGGGCUCCAACCUGGGAAUUGCAUUUGUGACUGCACGGCUAGAGUGUGUCAGAGGGGGGUAGAAUUCCACGUGUAGCAGUGAAAUGCGUAGAGAUGUGGAGGAAUACCGAGUGGCGAAGGCGCCCCCUGGGAUAACACUGACGCUCAUGCAC